AUGUCAGCCGGGAGGAUGAGAUCGAUAAAACUCAACUCGACCAUAGAUGAGAUGCAAGAGUGGUCCAGCAGUUAAAAACUAAGCUAUGUAAAAGAAAAUCAUCGUGCGAUCUACAAGCUUCAAACUCUGCAAAUGAAGUUUCAGGCUCAAAGAGGUUUAGUGGCAAGAAUUCGCAGUUACUGCUCAAGAAGUCAAGUACUGGGAACUUAGACCACAAUGAUCAAAGACUGUAGUCUCUCCCGGUAAUUGAUGACCGCGAUUGUGCUAGUGUUCUCACUGAAGAGCCUGAACCGGAGUUAGAGGGAAUGGAAAUGGAUCAACUAGAGGCUGAGCUCGUGUUAGAACUGCAAAAAUUGAGUGAGACCGGGGCUUCAGCCAAAAGUCGGCACGAUCUGAUGGAGGAGGGCUUUCAUUAUACCAUGCCAGGGAGUAUUGCCAUCCGAACUAGAUCAGAAACUAUGCCAUCUGUUAAUCGAACAGCAGGAAAAACCAAAUCGGGGAGCUAGAAUCCGAAUUGGAUUCUGUUCAACCAAAACUCCGCACGAAGGAAGCCGAACUCCAAGCACUAAAGGUUUGUGUUAGACGCCUGACUAACUUCUCCCUGUCGACCGUCUACGAUGAUGACACCAAGGCCCAAGGGGAUCAAGAAUGUAUGAAGGACAGGAUUGCCCUACAAAAACCGGAUCUGAGACGACGAAAUCAUCGGUCGCAUGAAAAGACAUGGAGUUUUAGUCCCCACUGAUAUUGCAUAACUCACAGUGUAGGUCACACCAUUGUGAAAAUCAAGCGUGUGAACCCUUCAAGUGGUUCAAAAAUUGACUUAGGUCUAGUUCUUUUCUCGAGUGCCUUAGAGAAACCCUGUAAUCAUAGU